rnacentral:ncRNA from 1 species
CUUGUGGACUGUUAUACAAACGAAAGUAGUAGAAAUAAAUUCAUUUCUAACGAAAUCGGACAGGAUGAAGCAAGAA